GGAAAUUCUCUUUCUCAUCAUAACUGUCAUGGUAUCCCACGCUGAUGUGAUUCUGGCUAUUGGUAGAAUUUGACAAAUGGAAGUCCCACUGUCUUAAUGGUACAUAAACAUCUGAGCCCACCAAGCUUCAACAGAGAGCCCUAAAAGCACAGUCAUCAUGGUAGUCCAUGGGAAGAAGGACCAUAAGGAUGUCAGCAAGCCUGUCUUCACCAAGCACGUGAUUUUGUGAUGAAAACCUGAGAACAAAAUAUGAAAUAUAUCUCAUUUUGGAGAGAGACAAUAAAGUUAUCUCUCUUUCUAA
rnacentral:lncRNA from 1 species